rnacentral:rRNA from 1 species
CUGCUGCCUCCCGUAGGAGUCUGGGCCGUGUCUCAGUCCCAAUGUGGCCGUCCACCCUCUCAGGCCGGCUACUGAUCGUUGCCUUGGUGUGCUUUUACCACUCCAACUAGCUAAUCAGACGCGGGUCCAUCUCAUACCAGAUUUCUCCUUUUCACACUAAAACAUGCGUUUCCGUGCGCUUAUGCGGUUUUACCACCAGUUUCCCGAUGCUAUCCCCCUGUAUGAGGCAGGUUGCCCACGCGUUACUCACCCGUCCCG